GACGAACGCUGGCGGCGUGCUUAACACAUGCAAGUCGAACGCUGAAGCUUGGUGCUUGCACUGGGUGGAUGAGUGGCGAACGGGUGAGUAAUACGUGAGUAACCUGCCCUUGACUCUGGGAUAAGCCUGGGAAACUGGGUCUAAUACUGGAUACGACAUGCCACUGCAUGGUGGUGUGUGGAAAGGGUUUUACUGGUUUUGGAUGGGCUCACGGCCUAUCAGCUUGUUGGUGGGGUAAUGGCCUACCAAGGCGUCGACGGGUAGCCGGCCUGAGAGGGUGACCGGCCACACUGGGACUGAGACACGGCCCAGACUCCUACGGGAGGCAGCAGUGGGGAAUAUUGCACAAUGGGCGGAAGCCUGAUGCAGCGACGCCGCGUGAGGGAUGACGGCCUUCGGGGUGUAAACCUCUUUCAGCACGGAAGAAGCGAGAGUGACGGUACGUGCAGAAGAAGCGCCGGCUAACUACGUG
rnacentral:rRNA from 1 species